rnacentral:rRNA from 1 species
UACGUGAGGGCCAAGCGUUGUCCGGAUUUAUUGGGCGUAAAGAGCUCGUAGGCGGUUCGGGCAAGUCGAAUGUGAAAUCUCCACGCUCAACGUGGAGGGGUCAUUCGAUACUGCCGUGACUUGAGUACGGUAGGGGAGUGUGGAAUUCCCGGUGUAGCGGUGAAAUGCGCAGAGAUCGGGAGGAACACCCGUAGCGAAGGCGGCACUCUGGGCCGAUACUGACGCUGAGGAGCGAAAGCG